rnacentral:lncRNA from 1 species
GAAGGCACAGGAAGUGAUGAAAGGAAUGGUCUUUAAAAGUGGGAGAAACUUCCUGUGACCAGCUCUUUUGCUUUUGAACUUGACUUUGAAGGACCUUUGGCUUGGGAACUUUGGACUGCUCUUGGAUUUUCCCUUAAAAAUACUUUGUGGACUGUGAUGCAAAAUCUAUCUUAAAAAUUAUCCUACUGAGAUGGAAGAAAGAUAUGAGAAAGUACUUUAUUAAAGCCAGCUUCCCCUUUCACUAUGAAUCUACAUCUCCAAAGAAUGCUAUAUAUGAAGAACACACGAAGAAAGACAAAUGGAGAGAGAUCAGCAAAGCCAAGCAUUACAGGAAAUAUCCGAUGACAUAAAAUAUUCCCCAAUUCUUAAACGUCAACCAAUUGAGUAUAGAAGUAUAUUUUAAAAAAACUCUUUUCCAAAUGCAAGUUUUGUCAU